UCGAGCGGGAACCUCGGGAGGGGUAACCCUUCCGAGGGGAGAGCGGCGAACGGGUGAGUAACACGUGGGCAACCUGCCCCGGACAUCGGGAUAACCCAGGGAAACCUGAGCUAAUACCGGAUACUCCGGCACGAUCGCAUGAUCGUUCCGGGAAAGCUCCGACGGUCCGGGAUGGGCCCGCGGCCUAUCAGCUUGUUGGUGAGGUAACGGCCCACCAAGGCGACGACGGGUAGCUGGUCUGAGAGGACGGCCAGCCACACUGGGACUGAGACACGGCCCAGACUCCUACGGGAGGCAGCAGUGGGGAAUCUUGCGCUAAUGCGCGAAAGCGUGACGCAGCGACGCCGCGUGGGGGAUGAAGGCCUUCGGGUCGUAAACCCCUUUCGCCAGGGAAGAAGGGAAACUGACGGUACCUGGAGAAGAAGUCCCGGCUAACUACGUGCCAGCAGCCGCGGUAACACGUAGGGGACGAGCGUUGUCCGGAUUUAUUGGGCGUAAAGCGCGCGUAGGCGGCCCGGAAAGUCGGUUGUGAAAACCCGGGGCUCAACCCCGGGCCUGCAUCCGAAACUUCCGGGCUGGAGGUAGGUAGGGGAGAUCGGAAUUCCUGGUGUAGCGGUGAAAUGCGCAGAUAUCAGGAGGAACACCGGUGGCGAAGGCGGAUCUCUGGGCCUUAC
rnacentral:rRNA from 1 species